GAUGAACGCUAGCUACAGGCUUAACACAUGCAAGUCGAGGGGUAGCAGGGUAGCAAUACCGCUGACGACCGGCGCACGGGUGAGUAACACGCAUCCAACCUUCCCAUAACUCGGGGAUAGCCUUUCGAAAGAAAGAUUAAUACCCGAUAGUACUUAACAAAGGCAUCUUUGAUAAGUUAAAGAUUUAUUGGUUAUGGAUGGGGAUGCGUUCCAUUAGAUAGUUGGUGAGGUAACGGCUCACCAAGUCUUCGAUGGAUAGGGGUUCUGAGAGGAAGGUCCCCCACAUUGGUACUGAGACACGGACCAAACUCCUACGGGAGGCAGCAGUGAGGAAUAUUGGUCAAUGGGCGAGAGCCUGAACCAGCCAAGUAGCGUGAAGGAUGAAGGUCCUAUGGAUUGUAAACUUCUUUUAUAGUAGAAUAAAGUGAUCCACGUGUGGAUUUUUGUAUGUAUACUAUGAAUAAGGAUCGGCUAACUCCGUGCCAGCAGCCGCAGUAA
rnacentral:rRNA from 1 species